GCUGGGUGUGGUGGCGUUCACCUGUCAUCCCAGCUGCCUGGGAGGCUGAGGCAGAGGGAUCAUGAAUUCAAAGCCAGCCCCGGCAACUUAGUGAAGUCCUACGCAACUUAACAAGACCCUGUCUCUA
rnacentral:sRNA from 1 species